rnacentral:rRNA from 1 species
GACGAACGCUGGCGGCGUGCUUAACACAUGCAAGUCGAACGGAAAGGCCCUGCUUUUGUGGGGUGCUCGAGUGGCGAACGGGUGAGUAACACGUGAGUAACCUGCCCUUGACUUUGGGAUAACUUCAGGAAACUGGGUCUAAUACCGGAUAGGAGCUCCUGCUGCAUGGUGGGGGUUGGAAAGUUUCGGCGGUUGGGGAUGGACUCGCGGCUUAUCAGCUUGUUGGUGGGGUAGUGGCUUACCAAGGCUUUGACGGGUAGCCGGCCUGAGAGGGUGACCGGCCACAUUGGGACUGAGAGACGGCCCAGAAUACAACGGGAGGCAGCAGUGGGGAAUAUUGCACAAUGGGCGGAAGCCUGAUGCAGCAACGCCGCGUGCGGGAUGACGGCCUUCGGGUUGUAAACCGCUUUCGCAUGUGACGAAGCGUGAGUGACGGUAAUGGGUAAAGAAGCACCGGCUAACUACGUG